AAGUCGAACGGAUGACCUUCGGGUCAUUAGUGGCGCACGGGUGCGUAACGCGUAAGCAACCUACCUACUACUGGGGGAUAGCCCUGGGAAACCGGGAGUAAACCCGCAUGGUAUCACUGACCUUCCUGGGUUGAUGAUUAAAGAUUUAUUGGUAGUAGAUGGGCUUGCGUUGGAUUAGCUAGAUGGCGGGGUAACGGCCCACCAUGGCGAUGAUCCAUAGGGGCUCUGAGAGGAGCGGCCCCCACACUGGCACUGAGACACGGGCCAGACUCCUACGGGAGGCAGCAGUAGGGAAUAUUGGGCAAUGGACGAAAGUCUGACCCAGCCAUGCCGCGUGCAGGAUGAAGGCGCUCAGCGUUGUAAACUGCUUUUGAUAGGGAAGAACGGCCUUCUUGCGAGAAGGUGUGACGGUACCUACAGAAUAAGCACCGGCUAACUCCGUGCCAGCAGCCGCGGUAAUACGGAGGGUGCAAGCGUUGUCCGGAUUUAUUGGGUUUAAAGGGUGCGUAGGUGGCUUUUUAAGUCUGACCUGAAAGUGGGCCGCUUAACGGCACAGGGUGGUUGGAUACUGAAGAGCUUGAAGAGGGUGGAGGCCGCCGGAACGGAUCGUGUAGCGGUGAAAUGCAUAGAGAUGAUCCAGAACCCCGAUUGCGUAGGCAGGCGGCUACGCCCCACUUGACACUGAGGCACGAGAGCAUGGGGAGCAAACAGGAUUAGAUACCCUGGUAGUCCAUGCCGUAAACGAUGAUAACUCGCUGUUGGCCCUUUGGGGUCAGUGGCUUAGCGAAAGCGGUAAGUUAUCCACCUGGGGGAGUACGCGCGGCAACGGUUGAAACUCAAAGGGAAUUGACGGGGGGUCCGCACAAAGCGGUGG
rnacentral:rRNA from 1 species